UAUAAAAUUAUUAAUUUAUCCAUUCACUAGAAAUUAUUUACUAUGGGCUUUUAUGAUAUUUUCUAUCAGGCCAAGACCAAGAACACUUCAAAAUUGUCAAGUUUUUCUUAUCACAUUAUAUUUGUAGUAAAACCUCCAUUUCAAAACCAGUCCACACCAACCUUAAAUUCUUAAACAUCUGGAGAAGUAACGAGGUGGCUUGCCAGAGUUUAUAUAGAUGAAGUACCAAAGAGCCUACAGGGAAUUAAUUUAUUUGACAAUGUGAGAAAGAGACUAAAACCCAAGAAAAAUGUCUUCAGGAGCCAAACAGGAAAACGUAUUAGGAUAUCAGUAUAUCCACAGGAAAGAUGGACAGAGCGUCCAGAUUAACAGCGAUUUACAUUCCAAAUUUGCAGCUUGUAAAGAUUCUCAAAAAAUCUAUUAGAGAAUCCUUACACUGCUCUGUUGGGGUUGUCUCUGUGAACCUGAAGCAGAGGGAUAGGACCCUCAGAACAUGGGACAGAUGGACUCUUCUCCUUGGAAUCUCACAGCUACUCUAAGAAUUUAAAAAUAUGGAAGUGGUAAGAUCCAGUUGUAACUGAUCAAGAGCUCAUUCUGCUCACCGCAACCCUGAAGCCAAUCAAUUGCAAACAAGUCUGUGUUCAAGAAUGGGAUUUAUUCAAUCAGUCAGAAAAAUUGGAAGAUGGUAGACUCACAUUGCAAAGACCAUCUUAAACAGGUACGUAAUCUUGACGUAGUUAUAUACGUACUGGCGGGCUAUGAAGGAGGGGCUCAGGAACAUUGACCAUCUGGCAUUGGUGACUAGAGAUGAUGAGGAUCAAGGCUGUCCCAGGGAGAGAAGCCCAAGGUAUCCUGCCCUACAUACCCAUCUAUAACAUCUUCUGGGAAUCAUAGGACAUCCUGACCUGAUAUGAACUGAUUCUUAUCUAAAGUUAUAGGACCAUCUGAUAACCAGACACCACCUACACUGAUACCAGUGUAAUGACUUUUUUACAUAACCUUUCCUGUGUAUUGUAAAGAGAUAACUCACAUACCUAUGCCUUGUAAAUUUAUCCCUACCCUCAAACCAUG
rnacentral:lncRNA from 1 species